CCUACGGGAGGCAGCAGUGGGGAAUAUUGGACAAUGGGGGCAACCCUGAUCCAGCCAUGCCGCGUGUGUGAAGAAGGCCUUCGGGUUGUAAAGCACUUUAAGCGGGGAGGAAGGCCUGAUGGCUAAUAUCCAUCGGGAUUGACGUUACCCGCAGAAUAAGCACCGGCAAACUUCGUGCCAGCAGCCGCGGUAAUACGAAGGGUGCGAGCGUUAAUCGGAAUUACUGGGCGUAAAGCGCGCGUAGGUGGUUAAGUAAGCGAUCUGUGAAAGCCCCGGGCUUAACCUGGGAACUGCAGGUCGAACUGCUUGGCUAGAGUAUGGUAGAGGGGUGUGGAAUUUCCUGUGUAGCGGUGAAAUGCGUAGAUAUAGGAAGGAACAUCAGUGGCGAAGGCGACACCCUGGACCGAUACUGACACUGAGGCGCGAAAGCGUGGGUAGCGAACAGGAUUAGAUACCCUGGUAGUCCACGCCGUAAACGAUGUCUGCUAGCCGUUGGGGGGCUUGUCCCUUCAGUGGCGGAGCUAACGCGAUAAGCAGACCGCCUGGGGAGUACGGCCGCAAGGUUAAAACUCAAAUGAAUUGACGG
rnacentral:rRNA from 1 species